rnacentral:rRNA from 1 species
UACGUAGGGACCAAGCGUUGUUCGGAUUUACUGGGCGUAAAGGGCGCGUAGGCGGCCUGCUAAGUCAAACUUGAAGUCCCUGGGCUCAACCCAGGAACUGCGUCCGAUACUGGUUGGCUUGAGUCCGGGAGAGGGAUGUGGAAUUCCAGGUGUAGCGGUGAAAUGCGUAGAUAUCUGGAGGAACACCGGUGGCGAAGGCGACAUCCUGGACCGGUAUUGACGCUGAGGCGCGAAAGCCAGGGGAGCAAACGGG